GCCCUCGUGGCGGAACGGCAGACGCGCUGGACUUAGGAUCCAGUCCCGAAAGGGGUGUAGGUUCAAAUCCUGCCGAGGGCA
rnacentral:tRNA from 1 species